UACGAAGGGGGCUAGCGUUGCUCGGAAUGACUGGGCGUAAAGGGCGCGUAGGCGGCUCCGCAAGUCGGCCGUGAAAUCUCCAGGCUCAACUUGGAGGGGUCGGGCGAGACUGCGGAGCUCGAGGUGGGCAGAGGGCAGUGGAAUUCCGGGUGUAGUGGUGGAAUGCGUAGAGAUCCGGAGGAACACCAGUGGCGAAGGCGGCUGCCUGGGCCUGGCCUGACGCUGAGGCGCGAAAGCGUGGGGAGCGAUCCGG
rnacentral:rRNA from 1 species